CGUCACCGCCCAGUGUUAGGGCGGAAGUGUGUACCGUGUGGUUUGCAGAGACUAUGAGACAGAUGUUCUGAAGGAAAUCACAAUGCUUUCAAGACCAAAGCCGGGGGAGUCCGAAGAAGAUCUUCUGGCCUUCCAAAACCAAUUUCUUGCUGCCGGAGCUUCUUCAGCCGCAACUGUUGUUAGGAAAGCCGAUAAAAGAAAAGGGGGCUCUGAAAACACGAGAGAGGGGCCUGCCAGAGGAGCAGCAGGAAAAGAUGUUGUGUCGCUGCCGGAUUUCUCUGAUUUGCCUCCUAUUCUGUCCCCGGGGCCAACUAAGAAAUCAAAGGUUGCUGGAGCAAGGGUUCAUUUUGCUGACGAAGAUCCAGAAGACAUAUUCGAAAAGCAUGACCAACAUAUCACAGCUGUCAUCUCAAAAAUUAUCGAGCGGGACACAAGCACUUCCACCAUCACCGCUCCACUCCCCACUGGAGAAGCCUUUCCUCGAGUAUUUCACAGAUCGGAGAUAGCCAGUGCGGCUAUUCCAAAAUCUGGAAAGGUAAGCAUCUUUGCUCAAAAAAUGGCUGCCAAAAAGGCCUCUGAGGCAGCGAAAAGUGGCAACACCUCUACAGCCCAACCACAGCGUGGACCCUCUGUUAAUCCAGUGAAUGUCAUUCCCUCGGACGAAAUUAAAUCUUCACAAACAACAAAAACAACAGAUGCAGCGCGCACAGACAGGUCCUAUUUGGUAACAGGGGACGGUCUUCGAAGUUCAACAGGUUAUGAAGAAGCAGAGAGGAUACAUCAAGAAAACGUAGAGAAGCUGAAGGCUCUUUCCCAAGAAGAGAUACUUCAGGAACGUAACCGGCUGAUGUCACAGCUCGACCCCAAGAUGGUUGCUUUCCUGAGAUCGAAGAGGGAGAACCAGACCACCCAUGAGAACACAAGUUCAGCGGAGGAACGCCAGUCUGUCGAUAUGGAACAUCCUCAUUGUCCAGCAGCGACAAAUUCAUCUGAGCAGACUUCAAGUAAGGAUGAAGAAAAUCCAAGUCUGCCGUCAGUUGACGACCUCCCGGUGAAGCCUCAGAAGGAGUGGGUGCAUAUGGAGAAAGUGGAGCUUGAGAAGCUGGAGUGGAUAAAGGACCUGCCGCAGAUCAGACAAAAGAAAACUAAGAAGGGAAUGCAAGCACGAUUCAGCCUGAAGGGAGACUUGAUACCUCCAGAUGCUGACAUGCCUACUCAUCUAGGGCUACACCAUCAUGGAGAGGAGGCAGAGAGAGCUGGUUACUCCCUACAAGAGCUUUUCCAUCUGACUCGCAGCCAGUUCAUUCAGCAGAGAACUGUGUCCUUGCAGGUCCUGGGGCGUAUCGUGAAGAAGGCCAAAGAAGGAGAGUUUGCCUCUGUUCUUAAGGGAAGUGCGCUUCGACUUUUGCUGGAUGCAGGGUUCCUCUUCCUCCUACGCUUUUCUAUAGACGAUCCCAUAGACAACGUUAUUUCUGCAUCGGUUGGCGCACUUCAUUCCUUAUUGGUUUCACAAGAAGACGAGGAAUACUUGGAUAAGACUUUUUCUUGGUAUCAAGGAACAAAAGUGUUUCCUUUCCUACCCAGCCAAGAGGAGGAGGAGAGGAGGAGGAGGAUGAAGAUGAUGGUAGAAAAAGGCCUGAAUAAAACCACAGGAAAAGUGGACAAGCAAAAGGAUAAAGAUGAAAAGAAAUCCGAUCCUGAUGUUGCUCGAUAUGAUGCUAUAAAGGGUCUUCUGAAGACAAAGUUUCACCAUCGACUAAGAUACAUCUUGGAAGUUGUGAGGCCACCAGCCUCAGUGGUCCUGCAAAUUCUUGAUAUUCUGACGAGAGUGGCCCGCCAUUCUGCAGCAGCCUGCAGCCAGCUCCUCGAUUGUCCUCGGCUAAUGGAGACCAUUGUACGCGAGUUCCUGCCCAUGCAGUGGAGUACGGCAAUGGAUACUGAUGAUCCUGGUCCUUCCAGUCUCCAUGGCGUGCCCUGUGCCGCAGCAAUAAAAUUUCUACGGGUGUUGGCUUCCUCAGGUCGUCAUGCUGCUGCCAGACUAUUGAACACCUUUGACAUGAAAAGCCGACUCAGCAGAUUUGUGGUUCAGGAACCCCAAGAUCUUCCCCUUUUGAAGGGAGAAGCAGAGCGUUUAAGUACUGAGACCUUUCGCCUCUGGGCUAUAGCUGCCGGCUAUGGCCAGGCCUGUGAUAUAUACAGAGAUCUGUACCCUGUUCUUGUGGGAAUCAUCCAGUCCUUUCCUCCUCUGAUCACUUCUUGCAAAAGGACUCCGACCUUGGUGACUGUUUCCAUCCAGCGAGCUGCUGCAGUGAUUACUCUGAUUUCUCACGUGACCCAGACGGCAGGCUGUACAGCCGAGCUGGAGGCACAACUCCACAGCACACCUAUUGAUACAGAGCCUCAGGUUCCUCCACCUCCUGUGUCCUGGGCCGACAUCACUGGGCUGCUACCUUUAGUGGAAGGAUGUCUGAUGCGAUGUCUCCAAGAAAUAUCAGAUUCCAGCACCUGGGAACUUCUCCAACCCCUCACCACUGCAUCCAUCAACUUCCUGGCUUCUUACUACAAGGCAGCUUGCCGACAGCCGUCCCUGAAUACCGUCUUAUGUAACGAGGAAGUUGAGAAGCUGACUGAUAGCGUACUACUACCAUUCCUGCAUCAUGUGGCUGUGCGGUCCAUGUGGGAUUCUCUCUGGUCUUGCUCUGCUGUGUGCAAUCCCCUUUCCUGCUCCCCAUUGCCGGAGUCUGUCAGCAGCAUUGUGACUUUGAGUUGCGCAGGAGAAAAGCCACCACUCAGCUUGGCUGGAGUAAAAUCACCUUACCCCAUCUUGACAUCUGUGCUCAAUCUCAUCUGCAGCAUCACCAACAUACACAAGGGACUGGUCAGCAAGUUCUCCUUUAUCCUUCAAUACAAAGGACUUGAAAAAUACCUACUGAAGAUAAGUGAAUGCCCGACUCCACCAGUGACUCCAUCCUCCAGCUGGCUCCUUCGACACGAGUACCACUUUCAGUACUUUGCAUUGUCUCUGCUAUAUAAAGUGGCGGCCAUGUAUCCUGAACAUUCCCAGCAUGCAUCUCUAUGUCAUUCUGUCUCCAUUACCUUACUGAGUCGACUCUUGCCUGGCAGCGAGCAUCUGGCCCAUAAGAUUAUUUCUUCCUUUACGUUCAAUCCGACUUUUUUGCCAGAAGGAAGUUCGGGAGGUCCACAAGCAGCGGAUUUGUCAGAUAUUUUGCACAUUACAUCUGACGCCAAGCAAGCAGCCCCUAGUUCAGCUGCUGCAACCUCCACCUCUCCAAGCCGUGGUGCUUUGUUGGAAGAAGCCUUCAAAGAUCUCCCUUCCAUCCGGGCUUGCUAUUUGACUCACUUUGCACACAUGGAACAAGCUCUCCACCACUCCAGGGUUGUCUACCAGGAAAGGACUUGUUUCAUCAAGACUGCUUUGCUUCCAGAAGCCAAAGGUCCGAUUUUGCCAUCUGACUGGUCGUUCCUUCCAUUAAUCAACCUCUACAAUAAAGUGACCAAUGCGGAGACCAAAGGAAAUAUUGUGAACACCCUCCCCCCUGAUCUGGUGAACACAGUAACUAGGAACUUGCAGUGGGUCUUUCUUUUGGAAACUUGGCGCCCCAGCUCCUUGCAGAGCAUACCCACCGCAGCAAAGCUGGCGCGUCUGGCCUGCGUGUUUCUCACAGGCAGUGACCUCUUCUUAGAAGGCCCUGUCCAUGCAUACACGGCUGCUCUUACCGUUUUUUAUAGUCAACCAAAAUUUAUGGAAUCUCUAAAGCUUGAUGCACCUCUUCCCGGUCUGGCUUCAUUCUAUGAUUUUUACAUGGACCUUUUGGAGCAGUUUGAGGGGGUUUCGUUUGGAGACCCCUUAUUUGGAACAUUUGUACUUCUUCCCUUACAGAGACGUUUCAGCGUCCAGCUUAGGCAAACUUUGUUUGGUGAACAUGUUAGCAGCUUGAGAUCCCUGUCUGUGCCCCUUAAAGAGUUUCCCGUCGCCUUGACCUUGUACACAUCCCCUCCUGAAGACAACUUGAAUCUCUUACGUCUCUAUUUCCGGACGUUGGUGACAGGAGCCCUCCGUCAGGCCUGGUGUCCAGUGCUGUAUGUUGUGGCAGUUUCCCAUGUGAAUAGCUUCAUUUUUUCACAAGAGCGUGUGGCUGAGGAAAUGGAUGCAGCAAGGAAAAACAUGCUCAGGAAGACGUACCUCUUGGUGGAUGAGGGUCUGAAGAAGCAUCUCUUGUACUACAGACAACUCUUAGGCAGCAGUCCGCUGGGCUUUGAUUUGUACGACGCUCUUCCACCUCUCAGGGAAAAGUAUCUAAAAGCGGUAACACAGCGGCAACAGCAAGCAAAAGAGGCAUCAUAAAGCUGGGAAGCCAUGCUCAAGGACACAGACGCUGAGGCCAAUAUACUUUCUUGACACAUCAGCAAUACAACACCUUUGGAUGGUGGGUGACUUCAUCGGUCUCCACAAGAACCAGAAGAUUCUGGGUAGUCACCCACUUACUGCAGUACACUGCCUAGAAGACGGGUGCGAAAAGCAAAUAAAGAGUAUACUAUGAGUACGUACAGUGCAAAACCGGGCCCUGGGUCCUUAUCGCUAGAGAAGAAGAAAUGGCAUUUACACUUUAACCCUUAGGAGAGCACCUUCCUGGAUGAGACAUCUCAACUCCAAUUUACAUAAGUUGAAUGAAUUAUUGAAAUUAUUUAGCCCCGAUUUCUGCAUUUGUUUUUGUGUUUUCUUUUUGUGCUAAUCCUUUGUUGUCUCUUUGUACACAAAGCACGCCUGCCAUUGAGGAUUGAAACGCGUCAAAUACACUUGUAUAUUUUAGGUGCUUUUUUCUUCCAUUUAUUUGUGUUAUUUGGAUUGAGAUUCAGUCUAAGUUACUCUUGGGUCUGAUUCACACAACAGGAUUUUCCAUCUAUGUGCCUACUGUGUUCACAGCGGACUGCACCCAAACCCAUUAAAGACAGUGGUUCAAUUCACACAUCUGCUUUCCGGCACAGACCUACUCAUAGCAAGCACUGUUCUUGUCCAUCUUACAUCCGAACAUUCAAGUGUAUGGGUGUGGAAAAAACACUGGCACACCCUGGCAUCACACAGCAUGGCAUACAUCAAUUUUUGGCAGGCGUAAAUUGGAACAGCCAUGUGAAUCAGGCUUUAUGCGUUGUCAUUUAGAACAGGGAUGCUCAACGUGCUGCUGUCCAGCUGUUGCAAAACUACAACACCCAGCAUGCCCAGACAGUAUACAGCUAUCAGCCUACAGCAGGGCAUGGUGGCAGUCGUAGUUUUACAACAGCUGGAGG